rnacentral:rRNA from 1 species
GAUGAACGCUGGCGGCGUGCCUAAUACAUGCAAGUCGAGCGAACAGAUGAGGAGCUUGCUCCUCUGACGUUAGCGGCGGACGGGUGAGUAACACGUGGAUAACCUACCUAUAAGACUGGGAUAACUUCGGGAAACCGGAGCUAAUACCGGAUAAUAUAUUGAACCGCAUGGUUCAAUAGUGAAAUACGGUUUUGCUGUCACUUAUAGAUGGAUCCGCGCCGCAUUAGCUAGUUGGUAAGGUAACGGCUUACCAAGGCGACGAUGCGUAGCCGACCUGAGAGGGUGAUCGGCCACACUGGAACUGAGACACGGGCCAGACUCCUACGGGAGGCAGCAGUAGGGAAUCUUCCGCAAUGGGCGAAAGCCUGACGGAGCAACGCCGCGUGAGUGAUGAAGGUCUUCGGAUCGUAAAACUCUGUUAUUAGGGAAGAACAAAUGUGUAAGUAACUAUGCACGUCUUGACGGUACCUAAUCAGAAAGCCACGGCUAACUACGU